GAUCAUGGCUCAGGAUGAACGCUGGCGGCGUGCCUAACACAUGCAAGUCGAGCGAGAAGCUCAUGAUCGAAACUUCGGUGAUUGAUUGAGUGGAAAGCGGCGGACGGGUGAGUAACGCGUAGGCAACCUGCCCCUUGCAGAGGGAUAGCCUCGGGAAACCGGGAUUAAAACCUCAUAAUGCGUUUCGAAGACAUCCUUGAAACGCCAAAGAUUUAUCGGCAAGGGAUGGGCCUGCGUCUGAUUAGUUAGUUGGUGGGGUAACGGCCUACCAAGGCAGCGAUCAGUAGCCGACCUGAGAGGGUGAUCGGCCACAUUGGAACUGAGACACGGUCCAAACUCCUACGGGAGGCAGCAGUGGGGAAUAUUGCACAAUGGGGGAAACCCUGAUGCAGCAACGCCGCGUGAAGGAUGAAGGCCCUUGGGUCGUAAACUUCUGUUCUAAGGGAAGAUAAUGACGGUACCUUAGGAGCAAGUCCCGGCUAACUACGUGCCAGCAGCAGC
rnacentral:rRNA from 1 species